AUUUUAAAGUGAUUCUUUCCAACCAGGAUCUCUGCUGAGAGGUUUCUCGCUCCCUCUCCCCCACAUUCCUGGCUGGGGGUCAGAGCCGCAGGCUAGCUACAGGUUCCUUGUUGGGAAGUGUUUUCACUGAGCUGAGCCGCUUCCCUGUCCUGCGCCUCAGAGGCAGCCGUGGACACAGGGGGAAAUGGGACGCCUCUCCCCACCACCCAGUUGAGAGUUAGCGUCCUCCUUGCUCAGACAAGGAAACCUCCUGCCAGACCACACAGGCCCCCGUCUUGCCACCCCCGGGCCCAAGGCAGGACUUUCUCUUCUCCCUGUGCCGGAGGAGCCGGCAGCCCUGGGGGAGUCGGAGCUGUGUCCACUGGGAGGCGUGCUGGCCUGAGCUGCUAAGGAGGAAAAUAAGGCUGCAGCUGCCAUUUGCUCAGGUGGCUGGACUUACCUGAUUCAGAGACUCGCCCUGUGUUUUCCAGGACAUUCUACCUGUCCACAGCUUUUGCCAUCGACAUACUUUAGGCUGAGUGGCAUGGCGGUGAUAUCAAUCAAGGGAUUUUCCUUUGCCGUUUGUGUUCCUCGACUGGUUUCUUGGUAGCCAGUGUCUUCAGCUGUCCUACUGUGCUCCUUACAGCAUGAUGACCUUGGCUGUGUCCUUCAACUUUCUAGGUGAGUUUUACAGGUUGUGUGGAAGUCUGGAGACUAGACAGCAGUAUCUGGAAUUUGGAAUUAUGUGUUUGUGGUUUCCAAAGGUGGCCCUUGCCUCUGGUUAGCUGUGUGGACUUAGGCAAGUCACUUAAACUCACCCAGCGUCAGUUUCCUCACCUGUGAAGUCGGGAUAACUAAUGGUAACCCUGAAAGAUGAAGGAUCCUAACCUCCAUCUGGUGUGGAGAGCUGUCAGCGUGGUCAACAGGGCCUGGCUUGCAAUCCAAUUCAGUCCAGAAGCAGAAGCUAGAUUAAUAGAAUAGUAGCAGUUCCCACAGAGGCCUCCUCUAUGUGCUCUUCUCUUGUGUGAUGAACUCAUUUCAGCGCUCACAGCAGCUCUAGGAAGCAGUGCCUAUUAUUAUCUUUAUUUUAAAUGUGAGGAAACAGAUCAACAAAACACUGGAGCUAAAUGUCACAGCGUCAGCAGGCAGCGGAGUUACACAGCACUCUCAGGCAGGCUGCUUCAGAAGCCACUCCUCGAAUCACCACACACACAGUCAGCCCUAGAAUCAUCUCCAGAGCAAUGCUCUCAGCCUCCCAUUUCCAUUGCAGAGUGCAUUACAUUGUAGGGUGAAAUCCUGCAGCUUGUGAUCAGACCUUGACCACUCACCAACUGUUCAGAAAAUGGAGCAGACUCGAGCCUCUGACCACAGGUCCAGGGAAGGCACACCUUGCUGCGAAAGCCACAGGAUCACACUGUAAAGUGAAGCCUCUGCUGGGGUGCAAACGAGGAGGGAGAGCCAUGCAGUGGUUCCAGGGUAUGCCACAGUGAUUGCCAGAGGAGACACGGACUUGCGAAGUUCCCCAAGCUCUAGAUGGGACUUCCCGAUCAUUUGUCAAGUAACCAACACUUAGCUGUUAUUACACAGAGCUCUUCAGAGGAAAGGUUUUCAAAUGAAUGGACAAUAGACAAUUCGUGUCUGAUAUGGCGAUUGCAUUGAAGACAGUGCCUUUGAGAAGGUGGCUUGUCACAUGGAUAUCAAUUCCCUUAGCCAACUGUGUCCAGGAGUUGUUAUGGGCCGGGAAACUCAAUCUCCUUGCUCCCUUUACAAUUCUGCCUAUCCGGACAGGUUACGCAGAGGUCUUUUUAAAAUGAGAACCUUUAUGUUUGUUGGAAUACAUGGCCGAGAGGAUCUGGGGCUGAAAGCGGGCUUCUGGAACAAAACCCCCAAUGCAGGGCAGGGGAAAGGAUGCCCAUUCUGGGGUGUUGUGAGGAGGCAGCGGCACCCUGUAAUGGGAGAGAGCUGGAAAAUGGGGUUCUGUCCUCUGUCUGGGGAUUCUGGCUGAUAAAGAUUGAACAUGGCUGGCAACUCUCAAAUGUCAAGAGGUGAAAUCCCAGGGAAAAGGUGUACUUCAUUCUCCUGCAGAGAGGACUAUGAAAUAAAAAGAACAAGACUCUAAAGAGCCCUUGAAGCUCUAAUUUCUGGAGAAAAACAACAUUUCCCUGCCAUCUUAGUAGCUCCUGGGAAGCCUACGGUACUGGCUGGAGGCGGCCAUGAAGAGGAGUAACAACAGGUCCAAGGCACUGGCAAUGAAUCUCAACUUGAACAUCCGAAGCAUCAGCAAGUGGAGGGGAAUAGAAAUCCCUGGGACAAGUUCACCAGGAAGCACCGUGCAGGAAGAGACCGACCCCAUAGCAAAGCUUCCUGGGAUCAAGUGACAUAUAAUCCUGGUUGUUCUCAAAAUGGAUGCUUCCUUCUCCUGGAUUCCUACUCAAACCAGGAUGGACUUACUCAGUUUACAUAUUUAAGGACAGGCAGCCAGUACCCUGACCUUAUAAAGGGGCAUGGAUGAAAGAGGACUCUGUUGCUUCUCGAGGGGAAUUCCACGUCUCCUGAGCUCAUGUUUAGCCGUGUUCCAACUGUGUGCUAAACAUACAGUCCACGUACGACCGAUUAGCCAAAAUACUGAUCUGAGGUCUGGGGGUCUUCUGAUCCCUCCACCAGCUCGUCCCUCUUUCCUACCUCUGCUCAGUGGCAACACUUGUAUUUGAUCUCUGCUUAUUGCCCUCACUGGGCUGAGUUGUGUCUUUCCCUUGGAUGCUGAGCUUGGAUUUGCUUUUUAAGUCAUAGUAUUUUCCUCUGCUGUCACCUAAGGCAGGUCCCAGGCCACACGGCCUGUUCUAGGGCAUUGCCACUCAAUGUGUGGUCCCCAGAUCUGCUUACUUGUCCUCCAUGGGAUAAAUAUAGAAAUCAAGGGUAAGCUAUUCAAAACUUUUAAUAAGGACCUGAUAGAGCAAUUUUUAUAAAUUUAUAAUUUUUGUAACGAUCUAAUUAAAUCUGAUCUAUUAUUUAGAUAUUAAUCUAAUGAAAUCUAAUAAUAACACAAAUCGGACUUUUGCGUUUCUUUUCACCCCCACCCCUGGUAAUUCAUUUGGAAAAUAUUUUACAAAUUUUGGUCUUGUAAGGAUCAAGAAAAACAAACUUGCUUUCUAUGUACAUAGUUCGAGAAGCAGAGGUCUGGGGACCCCAUCUGGUUGCCAGACCCCAGAUGACCUCAUCUUUAGUCCUCCAUUUGAUCUCUCUAGUUAUUUCCAAGCACAGAGGCCAAGGAUGACCAAAGCUGCUCUUCAGAGAGGAUGGCCUCUGAUCACUCUGAGCAAGUGAAGUGGGCUUUGCCUGGGGUCUGGGG